rnacentral:rRNA from 1 species
GACGAACGCUGGCGGCGUGCUUAACACAUGCAAGUCGAACGGUAAGGCCCUUCGAGGUACACGAGUGGCGAACGGGUGAGUAACACGUGGGUGAUCUGCCCUGCACUUCGGGAUAAGCCUGGGAAACUGGGUCUAAUACCGGAUAGGACCACUGCCUGCAUGGGUGGUGGUGGAAAGCCUUUGCGGUGUGGGAUGGGCCCGCGGCCUAUCAGCUUGUUGGUGGGGUGAUGGCCUACCAAGGCGACGACGGGUAGCCGGCCUGAGAGGGUGACCGGCCACACUGGGACUGAGAUACGGCCCAGACUCCUACGGGAGGCAGCAGUGGGGAAUAUUGCACAAUGGGCGCAAGCCUGAUGCAGCGACGCCGCGUGAGGGAUGACGGCCUUCGGGUUGUAAACCUCUUUCAGCACCGACGAAGCGCGAGUGACGGUAGGUGCAGAAGAAGGACCGGCCAACUACGUGCCAGCCGCCGCAGUAAGAC